rnacentral:rRNA from 1 species
GAUUUCUGGCUUGGUGCGCCUGGCCCGCUACCGUUAGGUAUGUGAGUGCUGGGUCGCGCCUGCCAUCCUUCUAGAGAACGUCUCUACUCUUCAUUGAGCCGGAGGCGCAAUCUAGAUCUUUUACUUUGAAAAAAUUAGAGUGUUUAAAGCAGGCUUUUGCUAUGAAUACAUUAGCAUGGAAUAAUAAUUUAGGACUUCGGUUCUAUUUUGUUGGUUUCUAGGACUGAAGUAAUGAUUGAUAGGGAUAGUUGGGGGUGCUAGUAUUCAGCGGCCAGAGGUGAAAUUCUCGGAUUCGCUGAAGACUAACUUAUGCGAAAGCAUU